rnacentral:rRNA from 1 species
GCACGGGUGAGUACGCGUAUGCAACCUGCCUUCAACAGGGGGAUAAUCCGAAGAAAUUUGGUCUAAUACCCCAUAAUAUUCCGACAGGCAUCUGUCGGAGUUGAAAGCUUCGGUGGUUGGAGAUGGGCAUGCGUUGUAUUAGCUGGAUGGUGAGGUAACGGCUCACCAUGGCGAUGAUACAUAGGGGGACUGAGAGGUUUUCCC